CGGGCAUCCCAUCCGUCCGUGGGCUGGAAAGCGGAAAAGCCAGGCCAGGGAGGAAUAACAUCGAACAGCUAGACGGCACUGCUGGUGAAACGGACGAAGUACGUACGUACGUACGUACGAGAAGACAGCUAUAUAUUCUCCAUUUUCAUCUCCGAGUUGAGAAUGAGAAGGGGAGGGGGCCCCUGCCUCUGCCUAGGCAAGAAUCCAUGUGUGCGCGCGUGUCGCCGUCGUCUUCGUCGCCGCCGCGGCAACUGAGAUCUGGUCCGGUGGCUAGGCAGGACAUUUCAUUUGCUCUCUUCUACGGCGGCCGUUCGCCUAGAGCUAGCCUAGGGGCCACGCUUUUUCCUUUUACGGGCAGCGACCUCAGCCGAAUUCAGCGGCGCCGUCACACUCGAUAACUCAUGGGCACUCCACUCGCUGGGCAUCGGUUCUCCCCGUUUCCCCACCGGGAUUCACCACGGCGCCAUCGCCAUUUGUUGGACAUCACAUCGGACGUGUGGCAUAUGUGAUCUUGCGUACGCAGUGAAUAUGAAAUGCAGAAGAAGAUUACUGUCUACAUGUAGCUAAUCAUCUUCUUCUGGAAUGGCUGAGGAGUACUGAGAUAUCACCAACGAUCUUUCAAGGAAUGAUGGCCAGAUGGUGAUGAAAUGUAAGAGACGGAGCAAAGAUAAGCGACCCUCUCUUCCAGGUCUGUUCGUUGGCCGAGAGUUCAAACAUAAUAUUGUGUGAAAAGUUAAGAGCUGGAUAUUCAUGCAGCAGCAUUGCAUCUUAUGUUCUGAGCUUGGGUUGGCACUGCAAACAAGAUAUUGCCAAUUCUUUCUUUUACCACAAACAUUCUGGUAUCGCCAAUUCUUCCGUUUACCACAAACGUUACAAUCCACCAACCUUUCCCAAUGUAACACUGGAUAUCUGAGGGGAUGGUACUUUAUCACAAGCCAAGUGCACGUUCAUACUCUCCAUCUUAACCAAGGGUUCAGUAUCUUCAGAAGAAAACCAUCUCGAUGAAACGGUGCAGGGUAUACAGUGCUACACGAACUCAUUAAAGUGUUAAUUUAACAGAAAUUUUUCAAACUGCACAACACAAAUUCUUGCAUGAUUGAAUCGGUCAGGUCCAUCACACCCGAUGGACACUCGGUAGCAAAAGUAAAAGUUCUCUGCAGCCAUCUCUUAUUUGAUGAUGCUCCAUAAGACAUGCACUGGACAAAUCUGAAAAAAGUUUUGUUUCCACGAAAAAACCUAAGGCGAAAACUACCACCUGCUUGAUGGCCAAAUGUAUAUUCAUAAACAAGGAUGCCGUGGAGCAGUCUGGUGCUUAGAACGCGUAAGCGAAAUCAUAUGCCUCACAAAUUUCUUAUUUUCAGAACCACGAGGCAUCCUUAGUGGUGAUGACCGUCAUCAUCAUCAUCAUGCCCAUCUGGAUUUCCACCAUCACCAAUGACCUUAAG